rnacentral:rRNA from 1 species
GGGAAUACUGCNAGCUAGGGAGUGGGAGAGGUAGACGGUACUCGGUAGGAAAGGGGUAAAAUCCUUUUGAUCUAUUGAUGACCACCUGUGGCGAAGGCGGANUNNNNGAACNCNACNUCCGACGGUGAGGGAUGAAAGCUGGGGGAGCAAUCCGGAUUAGAUACCCGGGUAAUCCCAGCCGUAAACCAUGCAAACUCAGUGAUGCAUUGGCUUGUGGCCAAUGCAGUGCUGCAGGGAAGCCGUUAAGUUUGCCGCCUGGGAAGUACGUACGCAAGUAUGAAACUUAAAGGAAUUGGCGGGGGAGCACCACAAGGGGUGAAGCCUGCGGUUCAAUUGGAGUCAACGCCAGAAAUCUUACCCCGGAGAGACAGCAGAAUGAAGGUCAAGCUGAAGACUUUACCAGACAAGCUGAGAGGUGGUGCAUGGCCGCCGCCAGCUCGUGCCGUGAGGUGUCCUGUUAAGUCAGGUAACGAGCGAGAUCCCUGCCUCUAGUUGCCACCAUUACUCUCAGGAGUAGUGGGGCGAAUUAGCGGGACCGCCGCAGUUAAUGUGGAGGAAGGAAGGGGCCACGGCAGGUCAGUAUGCCCCGAAACUCUGGGGCCACACGCGGGCUGCAAUGGUAGUGACAAUGGGUCCCGGAUCCGAAAGGAGGAGGUAAUCCUCAAACACUACCACAGUUAUGACUGAGGGCUGCAACUCGCCCUCACGAAUAUGGAAUCCCUAGUAACUGCGUGUCAUUAUCGCGCGGUGAAUACGUCCCUGCUCCUUGCACUCACCGCCCGU